GGUGGGGAGGGCAUAUUUAUGCUCCCCAUAAGUCUUGGGGUAGGAGAAGAGUGGGGGAUUGGGAAAAGGAGGUACGGAAGUGAAAAGGCAUCCGGUCUGGGAGAAGGAGACGUAGAUGGAGAGAGGAAGGGUGGUGAGGAGAUAGAGAAGGGAGAGACAGAGGAGCUUGGAUUGCAAGAGAAGAGGGGUCCGCAGUUUAACACUUCCCAUUCCAUGAGUCAAAGCAUAAGUAUUGGUGGAAGCAGGACCGGAAGAAGAUAUUGUGACCAUAAGCUCAAGAUUGCUGACGGAUGGAGCCUGCAAUGGGAGAGAGGAAGAAAUCACACACCAUACCCAAAUUUGAGGAAGGAGUUGAACAGAAAUGAAACAUGUUUCUUUUUCGAAUUCAUUCGCAUGUUGUCCAUGUAAAUUCAAUUGUUAUGCCAUCUCCCAUGUACACACCAGAAAGUCAAAAGACUCUUAUCCUGCCUUGGCUCCCUAGUUGAAUUCCUUCACAACUAUUUCUUUGAGGACAUUGCCAAUGGUGCUUCCAGCUUUUUGCUGCUAUAUCUUGUAUCUCUUGCAGGGCCUCCCCUUGAUCACCAGGUAUCCACUCUUGCGGAUCGUCCCAGCCUGCUGCGGAUCGUCCCAGCCUGCUGUGGAUACGUCUUGGAAGCUCCGGCAUCAGCCUUCGACUAAAACUGGUGCUCCUCGUCCGACAUGAUCGACUGCGUGUGUAGGGGAGACGAGAGAUGAAGUCGAA
rnacentral:misc_RNA from 1 species